CUUUGGGAUAACCCUCGGAAACGGGGGCUAAUACCGGAUAUGACCUGACAUCGCAUGAUGUUUGGUGGAAAGUUUUUCGGCCUGGGAUGGGCUCGCGGCCUAUCAGCUUGUUGGUGGGGUGAUGGCCUACCAAGGCGACGACGGGUAGCCGGCCUGAGAGGGCGACCGGCCACACUGGGACUGAGACACGGCCCAGACUCCUACGGGAGGCAGCAGUGGGGAAUAUUGCACAAUGGGCGGAAGCCUGAUGCAGCGACGCCGCGUGAGGGAUGACGGCCUUCGGGUUGUAAACCUCUUUCAGCAGGGACGAAGCGUAAGUGACGGUACCUGCAGAAGGAGCGCCGGCCAACUACGUGCCAGCAGCCGCGGUAAGACGUAGGGCGCGAGCGUUGUCCGGAUUUAUUGGGCGUAAAGAGCUCGUAGGCGGCUUGUCGCGUCGACCGUGAAAACUUGGGGCUCAACCCCAAGCCUGCGGUCGAUACGGGCAGGCUAGAGUUCGGUAGGGGAGACUGGAAUUCCUGGUGUAGCGGUGAAAUGCGCAGAUAUCAGGAGGAACACCGGUGGCGAAGGCGGGUCUCUGGGCCGAUACUGACGCUGAGGAGCGAAAGCGUGGGGAGCGAACAGGAUUAGAUACCCUGGUAGUCCACGCUGUAAACGUUGGGCGC
rnacentral:rRNA from 1 species